CCCAAACUCCCGCUCAGAAGCAACACCUGUCGCAGAGCAGGAAGGAGCCGCCGCCACCAGCCCUCGGUCGUUAAAGGUGAAGAUGGAGGCCAAAGCCCUCGGGAGCAAGACUGGAAUUUUAAAUGAGCGCCUCCAGUCUCCGCGGCGAAAGCCGCCCCCAUCAUUAACCCUGGCUCCAAUUCCCAAGGCGAGGCUGAAAGUCAAGAUAUCGUUCAAGAAAGAACAGUUCUAACUGCUUAAUCUGGCAACAAAUUAGAGCCGAGAUGCUCAUCAGUCAUAAUCCUCUCCCCAUCCUGUUCUUCCCGAUGACUGCAACUAGGUGAUAUUAUUUAAUGUCCAAAGGCAAAAUGAAACAAAAACUGGAAUGCUAG
rnacentral:lncRNA from 1 species